rfam:Myotis lucifugus cont2.7295, whole genome shotgun sequence.
GCCGGUUUGGCUCAGUGGAUAGAGCGUUGGCCUAUGGACCCAGGAGUCCCUGGUUCAAUUCCAGUCGAGGGCA